AGAUUGUCUCUUUGGAUUUUCUGUAUUCUUGUCUAUAUAUGGUUUCCGGAAAGAGAGAGAGAGAGGCAUCAUGGGAUCGUGCACUUCCGGCAGGGUCUGGCUUAAUACCAACGAAUACUACACUCCCCCCAGUUUUAUAUGUUUGUUGUAAGUAUAGAAUUUUCCUUUUUUUUUUUAUUUAUUGCCAAAUUGUCCAAAAUAAUAAUAGUGAAUUUUCCAGGUGGGCCCCCUCAGAUGAGAGGGGCCCAGAUUAGACAAGGGUACUAAUUAUUCGUUUUCUUUUCGAGAUUGCUAAAUUAAGUUAACCCUGUUGGAACGUACAGCCAGUCCCUUACCCCUUUCCAGCAACGAUCCCAGUCCCCUCAUAUCCUUGGUGAUGCCCCCUUGAUUACAAAUGUAGGUGGGGCUAGUAAGUUACUAUAAUAAACUUAACAAAAUGAACUUAAAAAUAACUGUCCUCUCUGGACAAGUUUACAGAUAUUUACACCAAAAAUAACUAUCCUCUCUGGACAAGUUUACAGAUAUCUACACCUAUGUAAACAAAAACUGCUCCCACUACCUACACCCUAUACAGAACUCGUGCAUUGCUGGUGGUGGCCUCCAGCAAUGCCCAAAGGGUGUCCCCCGACCUAAAGGCCAAAAGUCCCAUUGCCACCUCGGCAAUAUACUGGGGAUGCCCAUAGCUGUGAUUGGGCACCCAUGAUGGCCUGAAAUAGGGGGCAUCACUCUCCAGUAGUAUCCUGUCUAGGGGGAGGGACGACACCACUUGCCCUUGUUCCUGGUCAAACCGGAUUACCUCCCCUGUAUACCCAAAAUAGACAUUGGGGAAGGCAUCCCUCCAACGCCUCGCUUCCUGCCUGCCCCCAUCAAAGCAAUGGAGAUGGAUCCUCUGCUGAGGGUCCACCCUCUCCCGGACUAUGGUUGUUAGGACUUUCAGGUGCGCCUCCGCACUAUGGCGAUCCUCGGGAGCCCCUCUAAUAUGGAGAAUGAGGGGAACCUCUGGCCUCCCCUUGCACAAAUUUAGGACCCACCUUAGGGUGCUAACCUGCCUUUGAAGAGGUGGGUCCCGCUGGCUCUGGUCCAACCCAACUUCUCCAAUGGCCCUUACCCCAGGCAACCCCAGCAGCCGUUCCAUCUUGUCGAACGAACUAUCGUCCAGCUGCUGGGCCUUUUUGGGGUGGACUCCUAUUGCUGUGACCCAGGGGGUUCCUGCAAUGCCAAUGCAGAUGGCCAUGUCCCUGGGUCACAAUACACCAUAACCCCUCCUACUAGGUCCACUGGGUUUCUUGGGGGGGGGGAAGGCGCAUCUCGAUGAACCGUUGCCGGUCCAUCCUCCCGUUCAUCCUCCAUUGCCUCCACCCCCGGUCUAAAUGGAAGUGGGAGUCAAAUGCGGGAGGUGUGGACUCCUGACUGCACUGUCCACAAAUAGUUUUUUUCCUGGAGGGGAGUCGGAGGGGGACCUCAACGGAUCUAUUCCCCCCUCUGCCUGUCCUAUCUGGCCUGCUGAGGACCCUAUGGCUGCCCGGGGACCUUGCAGCCUAAACAUUCCCCUAAACGCAUCCGCCCUGUCUCCCAACUCCCCCAUUAUGGCUGCCUGGACCCUCCAGUCAAUGAGGGCUCCAGGAGAGUUGACCGGUGCUGUUGAGAAGUAUGGGGGAACUGGUCGUCCCCUUCCCGGCAUACCUCCUCCAUCUGCCCCUGGACUGCCUGCCCAAUGAUGUGGGGCCGUGUUAUCUCCAGCCUAUUCACAUGGGUGACCAAAUCCUCUAGGUCCCCACCCACUAGCAUCCAGGCCUGUGCCUGUAGUGCUGCUACCCUGAUUGGAGCGAGGGAAGCCCUUGGUUGGUCUCGUUGUUCUCCGAAUACUUCAGCCACAUGUUCCAGCAUCACAUGUGGCUGAAUAUCCAAUGCCCUUAUGGGGCAACCCUGGAUGGGGCACUGCUGUAGGGUGGGGAUGUCCAUCAACUUUGGCAGUGUAGGUCCUUGGGGUGUCCUCUGGCCUGACACCCCAGUCUCCCUCAGCUUGUAGUCAGGUUGGGGUGUCCUUAGACUUGACACCCCAGUCUCCUUCGGCUUGUAGUCUGGUUGGGGUGCCCUUUGACUUGACACCCCAGCCCCCCUGGCUUGUUGGUUUCCUUGGGGUGUCCCUUGGCCCAACACCCCCGUCUCCCUCGGCUGGUAGUCUUGUUGGGGUGUCCCUUGACUCGACAUCCCAGUCCUCCUCGCCUGACAGCCUCCCUGGGGUGUCAUAUAACCCGACACCCCAGUCUCUCUCGGUGUGUUAUACUUCUGGGGUGUCCUCUGUCCUGACACCCCUGUCCCAGUGGGCGUGUAGUUAUGUUGGGGUGUCCUUUGCCACGACACCCCUGUGUCCCUUCUUCCUCCUCCCUGGAACGAGUUUGGUGUCCGCCUCUGUUGGGCCUCCCUUAGUGCCCUCUGCAGCCUGGCUGUCUCUUCGGCUUGGCGCUCUUUCUGCCGAUUCCUUCUUCUCUUCCUUUCUUGGGUGGUCUCCUUACGCCCCUGAAAACCCCUACCCAGUGGAGGCGCGCUGUGAGCAUCCCGGUCGGUUGGAAUGCCCACAGGGGUGUCCCUAGCCAUCGGGACAGCGGCCCCUGGAGUGCUCCUGGAAACGGAACAGCGGCUCCUUCCUCCACUGGGUCCCUAACUCUGUCCUCCCUGCUACCUGACCGGGCCCUGGAAUCAUGGCUCCCAUCCCUGGUGCCCCUAACUAGCCCAGAACCCGUAUCCCUAGCCUUUGGGGAGGAGUCCCUGUGGUCCCCAGAGAUGUCUUUUCCUGGGACCUUAGCUUCGAAUUCCCCCUCCUGACCCUUUGCAUCUCCCUGGCUUGGGACAACCCUUUCAACUGAGGGGACCCUAUCGUGGUGUCGUCCCCUGGGGCUUACCUCUCUCUGCUCUUUCUUUUCCUCGGCAGCCCAACUUCUUUUUGGGCUGCCUCCCGAACUCCCCUCGUCACUGGACAUCUGUCUUUUCUGCAAAUACAAAAAAUACAACAUUUUGAAGGCCCAACUUAAUUACAUCUGGCCUCGUCGUUCAAUAUAGCAGCUAUCUAACUAGAUACCAAUGUAGUUAAAUAGUUGCCUCCAUAUGUACAAUAUCUGAAACUAUUUACAAUGACUUAAAGACUCCUUAUGUACAACAACAGCAUCAUAACAGCAUCCUAUUCUGAACCCUUCCUACGGGCUGACCUGCGCAGUCCAGUAGGGUUCAGACUAACGUGCGGUGGAUCUGGUUUUAUCUUACAACCAGAGCAUAUGUAGUCCUGGUUCUCCCAUUCUUCCGCCUCCUGUGGAGAGAUUCCCACGCACCUGCCAUGGUACCACUCACUGCACCUGUCACAGGAGAUCAUAAACUCUCCCGUAUAAGGUCCUCGGCAAGUGCAGUACAGUGCCCCAGUACUUCCUGAGGCAUUUGUUUUUCUACCCUCAGUUGAUUGUAGGGUGGGGGGCACCUGGUCCACCCUGACAGGAUCUUGAACAUUAUCUUGUGAAGGGGUUACUGGGUUGUUAGGUUGCAUUGCUUGGGCCACACCCCCAUUUUGAAGCUCUUCUAUUGCCCGAUUGACCCAUACCGGUAGCUCCCUAUCCCUACACAGCUUCAAACGGUCAUGGUUCACCGUGGUGAGGGCUUUCUUCAUUUUUACCUUAUACAGGUAAGGCGAGAUUCUUGCUAGGAUGACCCCUGGCCCCCUCCACAUAGGGUUUAGCUUUUUGCACUUUCCUGGCAGUGAAGCUGUGUCCAGCUUAUAGACAACGUCCCCUACCUUGUACUGACGGGCAACUACCCUAAGAUCGUAUGCUUGCUUAGCUCUAAGCUGGGAGGUCUUGAGGUUUGCCCUCGCAAUUUCAUGGGCAGACCUUAGAGCCUCUUCUAAGUCACCCACAUACCCGGCCAGGUCUGGAGGUUGCCCCGUUUUUGGUGGCCUGAACAUUAACUCAGCAGGGAGGUUUACCUCUCUGCCCAACAUGAGGCGAUUGGGGGUAAACCCGGUGGAUCGAUUCACUGAUGCCCUAAUUGCCCCCGCUAAUUGGGAAUGUGUAAGUCCCAAGUCUUCUGAUUGGUACCCACAAAACACCUGAUGGAGGCCAGGAGGGUUCGAUUAAAUCUCUCUACCUGGCCAUUAGCAGAAGGGCGAUAUGGGGUGGUCCGAGCCUUGUGGAUGUGGAGCAGUUCACAAACUGAUUGGAAGAGUAAACUCUCGAAAUUACGGCCUUGGUCUGUAAAUAUUUCAUAUGGAUACCCAAACCUACAGAAAAAAUCGUUAACAGCCGCCCUUGCCGUGACUUCAGCCGUCUGAGAGGGGAGGGGGAUACACUCCACCCACUUGCUGAAUUGAUCUACAAUCAUGAGCAGGUGUUCAUUUGCUCUGUCUGACUUUGGUAGGGGCCCUACAAAAUCGAGGUGCACUCUCUCCAUAGGAGCCCCAGCGUGAAACAUUGUCAUUGGACACCUUGCGGUCUUAUUCGGUUUCUUGCUCUGGUUACAUGCCGUACAACUUGCCACAUAGCCCUCCAAGUCCCUUUUAAGCCCAUGCCAGUAGUAAAACUGUUUUACUCUUUCUUGGGUUCUAGUCAUGCCCUGGUGCCCAGCUGAGGGGAUGUCAUGGCAUAAUUCCAUAAUGUCCCUCCUCCAUUCUCGGGGCACCAGCAACCUAUUUCCCUCUCCGUCUUUUGCAUGAUACAUUAUCAUUCCCCGUUCAUCCCUACUGAACCUCUCCUUGAUUGUCCAGUAAAAUUUUGCCGGUUGGCUACUUCGAAACAGGUCCCCCUGAGCAGGUUGACAACUGUUAUCGUCAAGCCACUCAGUGAGCCACUUAAAUUCCGGGUCUUUGCUCUGUGCGUCACAAAUUUGUUCAACAGAAUAUUUCCCUAAAACCACCCCAAGCCCAUCUUGGACAACCCGGAUGGAACAUUCUGGGUCAUCUGGGACUAUCACCACAUCUCUACCCACCGUGGCCACUGUCACUCGUGAUAUGCAAAUACCCUCAUCGGCUGGUUUUGGAUCGGCAACCGGUAUUUCAUCUAAAAACCCAACCUCAUCAGAAUUUUGGCCAGUGACCAGUAUUUCGUUUACAGACCGUUUCCCCACACCUGUUCCUUUGGAUGCCAAUGGGACCACGUCAUCCACAUCAGUCAUAAAUUUAGACCACUGUGCUUGAGCCCUUGCACAGUAUGGACAACCCCCACAGGGCAGGGUUGCCAAGUUGACCUCGGUUUUAAAGUCCUGACAUGGAGAGUCAACAGGCAUUCUGGACAGGGCAUCCGCGUUUAUGUGUUUGGAGCCCGCCCUAUGUCGCACCUCCAUGUGAUAUUGGCUCAACUCCUCGAGCCACCUGGCCAGCUGCCCUUGGGGCUGCUUAAAGCGAAGCAGCCAGGUGAGGCUACUGUGGUCUGUGCGGACUACAAAGUUCCUUCCCAGCAAGUAGUGCCGGAACUGUCUGGUGAAGCGUACUACGGCCAGGAGCUCCUUCCGGGUGGUGCAAUACCGCCGUUGCUCUGGAGUUAGAGUACAACUGGCAUAGCAAACUACCCUUUCCUCCCCAUUUUGUACUUGGGACAAGACUGCCCCGAUUGCAUAGUCUGAGGCAUCUGUAUCUAGGAUAAAUGGAUCAGAGGUAUUGGGCAGGGUCAGUAGGGGUGCAGAGGUGAGAGCCUCCCGCAGUUUAUCAAAUGCCUCCUGCUGUUUUUCCCCCCAUGUGAACGACCUUUUGCCUGUAACAUCUUGAAGGGGAACUGCGAUUUUAGAAUACCCCUCAAUGAAAGCCCGGUGAUAAUUGGCGAACCCCAGAAAACGCUCUACCGUUUUAGUAUUGUGAGGGGCUGGCCAUUUCUUCACAUCCUCUAUAUAGCCUGGGCCAAUAUUCAUACCCUGCCUGCUUACUAGUCUGCCAAGGAAUUCUACCUGUUCUUGAAACAGUUCACAUUUCUUUGGCUUAAGCUUGAGGCCGUAUUCCCUAAAGCGCUGUAAGACCGCCCUCAGGUUGGCCAAAUGAGAAGCUAUAUCCUUUCCCAGAACCAAAAUGUCAUCCAGAAAGGCCAACACUAUAUCCCAGGUUAACCCCCUUAGAACCAAGCUUAUGACCCUGGCAUAAGUAGCUGGGCAUUACAGAGCCCGAAAUGCCAUCCUGGCAAACUCAAAAAGGCCGUAUUUUGAAAUAAAUGCGGUUUUUGACCUAUCCUCCUCCUUGAUUUUCACUUGCCAAUACGCUGAGUUAGCGUCCAGCUUAGAGUACCACCGAUUCCCUGCAAGGGUAUCCAGGCACUCUUCUACUAAAGCUAGAGGAAAUACGUCUUUUACACAGGUAGAAUUAUAAAGCUCUAUAAUCAUGCACCACUGGGACGAUCCCCCCCCGUUCCCAUUUUCCUUACCAGUACGGGGCAUGAGCACACAAUUCGAACUAAGGCUGAAUGGACCCCUGCCUCACAUUUCUUUAAGUUGGGGCUCCCUCCUCUAGCAACAAACCAUGGGUUCUUUCUCAUUCGUUUGCGUUAUUGGGGGGUGUCCCUCAGUGUCAAUUUGGUGUUCAAUGGUCGAAAAGUUCCCCAAAUCAACUCACUUGCUGCAAAGAACAUCCCCAGUACUCCCUUAAAGAAUGCCAGGGCUUCUUGCUCUUGGCUUCCCAGUAGUGUCUUGGAGCGAUCAAAGAGAUCUCUGAGGUGCUCGGGGACUCCCUGGUCAGAUUCUGUUGGGCCAGUACCCCCCCCUGUACCUACUACACGUACCUUUGCCGGGACUUCUAUUUUCUCAACUUCUACCGCCUGGGCAAUUAAUUCCCCCUGACGCACAUGUACAUGCUUAUCUGAAGUAUUUAUCAGACAUACUACUGGUUGGCUCCCCGCCGCAUGUAAAGUGCGGGGAACCAAAAGACCAGAGGGGCUGCCUGCCUCGACAAUAUAACUGGGCAUUUCACAGUUAACCUGGCAGCUGAGCUUCAUCACUGAAUUGGGCGGCACCGUAACUUUAUCACGGAUUGUCACGUUAGCUACCCUUGGUGCCUGCCCGACCUUACCCAUAGUCAUGGGUAUGACCUCGUCUCCUACCCGCAGCUGUCCAUCUGACAUUUGCAAGUCGAUGCAAUGUGCCCUUAAUAAGUCGAAACCCAACAGCAUGUCGUCCUCUAUAGGGGCCACAUACAGAUUUGUUUGUAUGAGUUUGGAACCCAGUUCCAAAUUCACGGGCCCGACAACAUACCCAUUCAUUUGCAUCCCCUUUCCUGCUGUAUUCAUGAUGACUUCCCUGAGGAUGGGGGGCACAGACUUUAGGGACCUGUAUACCUCCUCUGAUAUUAGGGUCACUUCUGCUGCAGUGUCCACCACAGCAAACAAACUCUGCCCCUGAACUUUUAUGGGUACCCUAAAUACUGUCCCGGAACGGAGCUGACAGACAGUGACAAUUUCACAAUCAUUUUCCUCAUCAACCAAUGUGGUGUCUGCUUCCCCCUCUGAAGAGGAGGCCCCACUGUUAUGGGCUUCCUCAUUAUUUUCCAGGUCAGUAUCAAUGGUUCUUACCGCCCUGGGAGGGCUAUGGUCUUCAGUGGAGUCCCAGCUACCCUGGGGUUCUCCAUAACUGGCCAUAGCUACUGCUGCCAGGCUUGUAUCUUCGCGUUCAAACCAUAAGCUCCCUGGUAUUUCUCCCCUCUCCUCACCCCCAGGGUCCCCCUGAUCUUGGGUAAGCACUGACUGAACAAUAAGGGGUCCAAAUUUGAUUUGUUCUCCAGAGUCUAGAUGAACAACCUCCCUAAAGAACUUGACGGGCAAGACUCCUGCCUGGUUACCCGAGCAUAAUAUAGCCCUACUGGGUGCCCAAUAGAACUCGUAACCCUCGGCCUGAGCCCUUGGUACAUCUAUCUUUAUCUGUACUUCCCAAUGAGGUUUGAAGGUAGGGGGUACCUCACUCAAUAGAUGAAUGUGCUGCCUAUUCAUCCGUCUCAACCCUUCCUCUUCUAUAUCCCCCCAGGCAAGCAUGGUUGUGUAGUGGUAGGCAUGGGCAACAGUAUUUUCCUCUACUGAGGGCAUACCAAAAGAUCCCACUUCAAUGGAAUGCCCCUGGUUUGCCUUUAUUUUCCACCAACCAUGAUCUUGGUCCCUCUCUAAAGUGAAACGUUUGUCCACGUCUACCUCAACCAGACGGGUGAGCUCCUUGAGAGUGUACCCUGACAAUCCUGGGUGCCUCGACAGGAGCUCAUCAACAUACACGAAUCCCCCAGGGAGAACCUUGAGUCCCCAUUUACUGGCACCAUGCCGCAACACAUAUAUCAGUGUUUUUUGACAAGUGACGGUCAACUCCAUGGUCUUGGAUUACUUCCUCCUCUGAAUCGGAGGAAGCAUUCUCCUUAUCCUCUAAUGGGCACUCAGGGGCUGGGUUAUUUACAGACUCUAUGUCCUGGGUGCCCUCCCCUUCAGACUCUACUGAUAACAACCCCUCUGCCUCUUGUAUUUGUAUGGGCAUUACCUCAUUCCCCUGACAAACUGAUUUUGGACCCUGAUAUUCCAAGGUUACUUCCCCUACAUUUUGAUCCCUAAACUGCACAUCUGUUGACAGGCCAAACUCUAUUUUUGGGGGCUUGCUCUGACCUGUGGAGCUGCCCCGUUGGAGUUUAACGAACUUGGUGCCAUACGAGAUUGGUCAGCAAAAGUUACCGUUUUCUCUUUUGACCGCAGAUCUGGGCACUCAUUUCGCAUAUGCCCAGGUUUUAUAGCAGUUAUAGCAUACACUUUCCCGCCCAGACCCUCGAUAUGGGGAUGGGCUUCUUGAUGGCGACCUUCCCCUAAAUUUUGGGCAGUCCCGUUUGAAAUGUCCUCUCUCCCCACAGUGGAAACAUUCUCCGGCCAGCUGGCCGUCCGCCCGGUGAGGGGCUUCUUGCCGGAGGGCGAGUGAGGAGUUUCCUAAAUUGGUCCAUCAUGUCAUCCAAUUUCUCAUGCACUUGACCCAACUUAUUAUCAAAUUUUGUAUUGGUCUUUUCCAAUUCACUUUUCCAAGUACUCACUGGGGCCCUCUCUGGGGCCAUAGUGGCUCUUACCUGCGGUACCUGGUACUCUUGGAACACCUCUUGGUGGUCGUCAUACCGGCCACCCAUUACCUGCCUAACCUCACGCCUGGUUGACCUCCCAUAUAUUGCCUGGGUAUUGUGCUGGAAUAGCCGUAUUUUAUCUACGGCCUCCUCUAUGCUUUGGGGCUGAAGGAUAGGAACUUGCACCCCAACUCUUUGAUUUCAAUACCCUGACACAGCCGCAUCACGGCCUGCUCAUACAUAUAGUCAUCAGGGAGGGUUCUAAAGGCUCUAGUGGCUAAGGACAACACCCGGUCAGCCCAGUCCUCCAGAGACUCCUCAUGGGCUUGCCGAGCAUUGUUAAACUGAACCCGGGCGGUCUCGGGGAGUGCCUUGAAACCAAAGCGCUUGUGAAGCUUUUCCACAAGCUCCCUAUAACUUACCUCCCUGUCCCUUUCCGUUAUGAGGGCAUAAUAUUCGCUGGCCUUCCCCUCAAGGCACCAGCAAAGUUGGUCUUUACAUUUCUGGGGACCCCAUUCACAAACCUCUGCGUAUCUAGCAAAUUUUGUGAAAAAGGCCUGCCAGUUGCCCUUCCCGUCAUACUUGAUAUUUUUUGGGGCAUUGCUAACUUUAGAGACUGCACCUGAAGUUGCUCGUGCCCCACCUCUGCUGUCAGGUCCCCUUAUGUUUUCCCUGGGCCUAUCCUCAUUGUGUGGCAUUGGGUAAGCAUGUUGCCUCGUAGCUCCCCCCAGUGGUGACCCCUUGUGGGGGCACCGGUGUAUACCCUUGGUUGUACUGAGUUUGGGAUUGUCUAUCCCCAUAGGCACGGGCAGGGGUCCGCCUUGGGUCCUCACCCCUGUUGUUUGGUCUUUCUUCAUACGUCGGGGCAGGUCCUUGCCUGGAGUCCUCGCCCCUAUUGUCUUGCCACUUGCCAUACCUACUGCGGGGUGUUUCAUACUGUCCCCCACCAGUGUGAGCUGGUUGGGUACAGGGUGCUGACCCUUGACCUGCAUAGUUGCUUGUGUGACCCAUGGGGUAUGAAGGUGCGCCCCUUUUAGUUGGAACGGUUUUGUCCCAUGCACUGGCUUCCCCUGGCCAGUGCUGUUUGGCAUUGAUACUACUCCCUUGAUGUUGGGGGUUACUUUGGUUUGGGUCACCCAUCAUGGGUUGACUCCACUCAUUUUUUGUAAUUUGUUCCCUGUAUCCCCCAUCCCAAUUUCCUGGGGUCUUAGGUCUAGCUCCAGCAUCCCCGGGAAUAUGGGCUACACUCAAGAAAGGCAGAGUCCAUCUGACUAGGACCAUUCCAGGGUCCAGGACUUUGCCCCUGAUGCCAUGCCUCUUGCUUAAAUUCUGAUUGGGCAUGUACCCGUGCUGGGGUGCCUUGUGAGGCAACGUGUCCCCCACCUAUUAAUGUGUUAACCCUGCUUAACAUUUCAUUGUGCCUGCCUUGGGCUUCAGGUGGUGGUCCAUUAUUAUUUUGGCCACCCCCAUUUUGAUUGAAGUCUAGCCUAGACAAGGAGGGCCAUUGUCACUCGAAGAUGGGAUAUUGUGGCUAGAUCUGACUCAGUCACAAAACCCUUACCCUCCCUUAUGUCCAUAAUUUGCUCCCCAGUUUUUAUUCCUAUACCUGGGAGCUGAAGUAACUCUUGAAAGCUACAAGUGUUUAUGUUUAUGAUGGACAUUGUAACUGUAAACAAUCAACACUGUUUUUGUACCAAGUUUAUUUAUUUAUCAAUAAACAACAACAACCAACUCUUUUAAUAAUACAGAUGUUUUUAUUUUAUUUUAUUUUUAUUGAAUAACAAAACUUCCGCUUUAUAGGGUAACCCGUCCUUCUGGUCUGCGGUUAUUAGCGGAAGCAAACAGAACAGAACAAUAACACUACUGGUAACCCGUCCUUCUGGUCUGCAGUUAUCAGAG
rnacentral:lncRNA from 1 species